AUAGAAGGAAGCAAUGGUCUGGUACAGAACUGGAUGUGGACUCAUAUGGAGAUUACCCAUUCUCAGGAAUGUCUUUAUCAGCAGCAUGAAAAUGGACAAAUACAGCCUGCAACACCACAGCCACUGUUGGAAUUGGAUGUGGUCCUGAAAUCACAGUAUCCACUAUAGAGCCACAGUUUUUUUUUUCUCUCAGGGUUUCACUAUGAUGGCCAGGCUGGUCUUCAACUCCUGACCUCAGGCGAUCCACCCACCUCGGCCUCCCAAAGUGCUAGGAUUACAGGCGUGAACCACCGUGUCUGGCUUGGAUUCUCUUUUAUAGAGCUCCGAACAUAGAGGAUACAAAGUAAGUAAACAGAAUGGUCCUUGCUUUCAAAAGAGAUUAUGAUUCAAUUUUGAAAAAAAAAAAAA
rnacentral:lncRNA from 13 species